ACUUAGGAAACAGGUGACUAAUACCGGAUAAGAAAGCAGAUCGCAUGAUCAGCUUUUAAAAGGCGGCGUAAGCUGUCNCUAUGGGAUGGCCCCGCGGUGCAUUAGCUAGUUGGUAAGGUAAAGGCUUACCAAGGCGAUGAUGCAUAGCCGAGUUGAGAGACCUGAUCGGCCACAUUGGGACUGAGACACGGCCCAAACUCCUACGGGAGGCAGCAGAG
rnacentral:rRNA from 1 species